rnacentral:lncRNA from 1 species
UCCUUAAGGUUGGUGUGAGAAUGAGCCGCGGAGAAGCAGAGAACAAACUGAUUACUCGUGAUGAGAUAGAGAAAUGCUUGUUGGAGGCCACAGCGGGACCUAAGGCAGUGGAAAUGAAGGAGAAUGCAAUGAAAUGGAAGGAGGCAGCGGAGGCAGCAGUGGCUGAGGGUGGUUCCUCCGACUGGAAUAUACGAUAUUUUACGGAAGAUAUUGUAAAAGCGAAUGAGUCUGAGAUUGCAGGGAAGUGCAAUGGUUCUAAUGAGUUUCCAGUGUCGGUAGUGGUGAAGUCCAUUGAGAAAGUGGCUGAACUGGUGGGGUCAUCGGCAUGAGGGGAUUUGCUUUAUAUGCAGUGAAUAUGGAACUGGUCUAAUCCACUGUUAGUAUGAUGAAAUUAGUCUUGUUAUGUACUUGUCUACUUUUUACUUCUUUUAAUUAGAUAUUAAUAAUAUACAGUAAAGGCCAAAUGCCAUAUGUAUGGUUGUUAUCGAAUUUCUGUACUUUCCUAUUUAUAAUUUGCUAAAAUCUUAUUCGUUUGAAUUGCUUGUAAUGGUUGUUGAAAAUUAAAAUUGUUGUAAUAUUUUUAGUUUUUAUUAUAUUUAUGAUUGUCUUAUGAUUUGAGUAUAAAUUUCAUUAUAUCUAGGAUUUUUAUAAUGUCGAGCAUUAUUCAAAACUCAAAGAAAUUAUUAGAACCGUAUGGGUUGAUAUUUUAAGAAAGUAAGUGAUAGAUUAUCAAGUGGGCGGAGGACAACAAAUUCUAAACUUUCUAGUUUUGAAAAUAUAGUGUCUCAAUGAUUUUUUCAGUCUUCAAGAAAGGAUCAUGCAUGGUUAAGAAUUUAACAUCACAACUCUUGAACGUGAUCUAGAAUUAUAUUGGCAAAUAUUUGAAUUUUUAGUUAAUAAUUCUGACAAUAUUCAAAGAGUAUAUAUACAUUGAUCUUGGCCCAUAUGUACAUCUUAGUCAUGCAGAUGGAGCACAAUAUCGAAGGUUUCAAUAUAAGCCAUUUAAGCAUAUUUUUGGCUUGAGUAUUCUGUUGCCAAAGAUAUGACAUUUUGUUUUCCUUGCUUUCAUUUUAAUAAUGAAUAACAUAAAAGAGAGACUCAUCAUUCCAAUACAUAUAGCACGUCUAUAAGGAAUCGAGGGUUUCGGGCUCCUCGAUAGUUGCUCCCAGUAUAAUGAUCAGUCACCUGCUAGAAAGAAAAAUAUAUAGCUUUGAGCAAACGACAGUAAUUGUAGGACGCAAGUGAAGUGAAUUGGGUUGAUAUUGGGUUCGUUAUACAACAAAUAAUGCAAGGUAAGGGCGGUUUCUGCUAAGAAACGUGAACAGUGGAGGUUGCACGCAGAGAAGGAGAAGAGGAAAAUAAAGGAGGUGGAAACUGACCUGCAGUGGCGGUGCUGUUGUUGAUGGUGGGCGAAGAUGAGGACUGGCGGAGGACGCUGCUGGUUGUUUUUCCUCUUUCUCAGUAUUUUCCUUUUGCCUUUCUUCUCUUAUCUUUUCUCCUUCCCUCUGUUUUUCUGUUCUUCUUCUUUUGUUCUCUAGCGGUGGUAAUGCUACUGGUGGCGGCGUUGUGGCUGCUGGCGAUGGUUCCCGGCGAGGAAAGGUUCUUCUUCCUAACUAGGUGGCUGUGCAAUAGGGAGCUGUUGUGUGUGCCGGUCGACAGUUCUUUUUCUGUGUGUUUAUCCAGGAAGGUUCUUCUGAUGGGCUGCAUAUAUACUUGGGCCCAUCCAGGAAGGGACGUGCCUGUCAUUUUAGCAAAUAAACUGUACCCCUCCUCCUUAUUAUUUACUAGAUUUUUUUUUUUCAUCUUUUUUUAUUUUUUUUUAAUUUUAAUUUUAUUGUUUAAUAUUUUUUUUUAUUAAAGAUGAAGUUUUAUAAUUUAUAUAAUUUAUUUUUUAUAAAGUUAUGUAACAUGAACACAUAACUUUUUAAUUUAAAAAGAUCAUUUAUUGAUGUGAUUAUUUUUUAAUUUUAUUUAUAUAAUUAUUUUGAUGUGUUAAUAUUAAAAAUAAAUUUUAAAAUAUAUAAAAUAUAUAUAUUAUUUUAAUUUUUUUUUAAAAAAAUAACUUUUAUUACAAUGAUUGAGUACUAAUAAAGUGCAUCGAGAAUCUUAAAGUGGAUCGAAAUUUUUAAAAUAAGAUAUAACAAUCACAAUCACUUUUCAACGAUGAUGAUUACUCGUUUUAAUUUUUUCUUUUUUUUUUCUUCAUGAUGAACUUUUAAAACUUUUAUUUAUUUAUUUCUAUUUUUUUUUUUAGAUUUGAUACACGAUUACGAUUAACACUUUGAUUUGAGUUUUGUCAUUUUAUCUUUUUAGUUUUUUUAGAAUGCGUUUGGGAGUGUGGUUGUUAUUACUUUUUAAAUUAUUUUUUAUUUUAAAAAAUAUGUUAAUAAUUUUUUUUUAUUUUUUAAAAAUUAUUUUAAAAAUUAAUACAUUAAAAUAAUUUAAUAACAUCAAAAAUAUAUUAAUUUAAAAUAAAAAAAUUUAAAUUUUUUAAAAAUCACUUUUUAAUAACAAUUCCAAACCCCCUCUUAUCUUUUUAGUUUUUUUAAAGUGUGUUUGAGAAUGUAAUUGUUGUUAUUUUUAAAUUAUUUUUUAUUUUAAAAAAUAUAUUAAUAAUUUUUUUUAUUUUUUAAAAAUUAUUUUUAAGAUUAAUACAUCAAAAUAAUUUAAAAAUAUUAAAAAUAUAUUAAUUUAAAAUAAAAAAAAUUUAAAUUUUUUAAAAAACAAGCAAUUCCAAACCCCCUCUUAUCUGCAUACCCACAAUGCCAGGCGUCAUUGCCUGCGUCUAUACUUUGCUGAGUUGUCCUUCGUGAUUUUUCCAUAUACAGUGAUUUGUCCAUCGCCUGCCCUCCUUAACCUCAUCUCUCUUUCUCGCGCUCGUUGUGUGAACUGUGAAGUCAUAGAAGUCUUGAAGGAAAACAAAGAAGAAGAAAUUCAUGUGCUAAUGGCGGCACUCUCAUCUCAGGGUCACUUAAACCCCAUGCUUAGACUAGGUAAACGCUUAGUCAAUAAAGGUCUCCAUGUCACACUGGCCACCACUGAAUUCACCGGUCACCGCAUGCUCAAAUCUUCCACCAUCAACCCCACCUCCUCCCCCAUCUCAAUCUCUGGAGUCCAAGUUCGCUUCUUCUCUGAUGGUCAAAGCCUAAACUACGACCGCAUGGUUAAUUACGAAUCGUACAAGAAGAGUUUAGCCAAAUUUGGAACCAUCAAUCUCUCAAACCUUAUAAAGGAGCAUUUCCCCAGUAAUGGUCACAAAAAGCUCUCUUGCAUCAUCACCAACCCAUUUGUUACCUGGGUAGCUGAUGUUGCCAUCAAUCAUGGAAUUCCCUGUGCCAUGUUUUGGAUACAGCCAUGUUCACUUUAUGCCAUUUAUUAUCGCUUUUACAAUAAGCUAAACUCAUUUCCUACUUUAACAGAUCCUGAUAUGAGUGUUGAGUUGCCAGGCUUGCCACUGUUAUACAGAAGAUUUACCUUCCUUUGUUCUUCCUUCAAUUCCAUUUGGUAGCUUGCCUAAAAUGUUCCCAGAGAUGUUCCAGAACAUGAAGAGGUAUAAAUGGGUUCUUGGGAACUCAUUCUUUGGGCUUGAGAAAGAUGCUAUUGAAUCCAUGGCUGAUCUCUGCCCUAUUAGUCCCAUUGGCCCUCUAGUUCCUCCAUCACUUCUUGGUGAAGAUGAAGAUCACGAUACGGGUGUCGAGAUGUGGAAAGCAGAAGAUACUUGCAUUGAUUGGUUAAACAAGGAAGCCCCUUCUUCAGAUAUACGUAUCUUUUGGAAGCCUUGUUGUCUUAUCAGCAAAACAAAUGGAGUGCAUAGCAAAAGCCCUGAAGAACAGUAACAGUCCAUUUAUUUGGGUGGUUAAGCAACCAGACUUACCAGAACCUGAUGGUGCAGGACAAUUGCCAUUAGGGUUCUUGGAGGAGACGACAGACCAAGGGGUGGUUGUAUCAUGGUCUCCACAAACCAAAGUUUUAGCCCACCCAGCUAUUGCGUGUUUUAUAACUCACUGUGGAUGGAAUUCUGUGUUAGAAACAAUUGCUGCAGGCGUGCCGGUGAUUGCAUACCCCAAGUGGAGCGACCAGCCAACAAAUGCAAAACUUAUUGUUGAUGUUUUUCGCAUUGGUCUAAGGCUUAGAGCAAAUCAAGAUGGGAUUGUUAGCAACGAGGAAGUUGAAAGAUGUAUUAGAGAGAUCAUGGACGGACCAAAGUCUGUGGAGCUUAAAUCCAAUGCAAGGGAAUUGAGGAUCGCGGCAAGAGAGGCAGUUGCCGGUGGUGGUUCAUCGGACAAGAAUAUUCUGUUGUUUGUAGAUGAAAUUAUUGAGAGUUGUGGUUCAAUUGAAGUAUGCAAUGUAGAAUGCAAGGUUCCUCAUCAAUAUACACAAGGCAACGAAGGCCAAUAAUUGUGAUUGGAUAAUGCUAGGAUUACUGCGUUUUUUUAUUAAGUUUUGUUUAAUUACCUGUUAUUUAUUCCAAGGAAAGAAUUUCAAAUCAUGAAAUGUAGAUCAUAUCAUAUUUAAGACUAUGUUACUCUACUUUUAGCACUAACAAUGGUAAUUUUUCUAACCGGACUGAAGAAAUAUACGUGGUCUGGAUGUGCGAAAACCGAUGCUAUUAAAAUAAAAUAAAAUAAAAUAAUGCUCUAUAUAUUGAUAUUGAUGGAAUAUUCAUGCCUGCAACAGUAGUUCAUUGCAAUAUGCUUUUAAAAAAUAUAUUUUUAAAUUUUUAUCAUUAUAUUAUCAAAAUUAUUGAAAAACAUAAAAGGAAUUUUAAUUUAAUAUUUUUUUCAAAAUAAAUAUAUUUUUUAAACAUUCAAUAUCAAAAGCUGCUGCAAUUUCAAGUCCCAAACACCACCUUAAACUUAUGGACAAGAAAGUAAUUUUUUUAAAAUAUUUUUUUAUUUAAAAAUAUAUUGAAAUAAAAUAUUUUUUUAAAAUUUAUUUUUAAUACUAUUUAAAAAAUACAUAAAAAAUUAAUUUAAAAUAAAUAAAAAAAUAAAAUAAAUAUUAAAGUUAUUUAAUAAUAUUUUUAUCGCACAGGCAGGCCAACGUUUCGUUCGCAGCAAAUAAGUUAAUGGAUUGUGACAGCAUUUCAAUUCUUAUACCCAUAUAAGAUGUUCUUCAAAAUAGUAAGAAACGCGGUAAAAAAUGUGUAUUUAAGGGCUAAACGACACCUCUUGGGUUGUUCUCGUUUUAUAUUUGAUGGGUAAUAACCCUGCUAAACGCACCUCUGGGGUUGUUGGCCUGGGUUUUGGUAAGGGCUAGGUUCCCUUGCUGUUUUUUUCUUCUUCUUUUUAAUUCUUUUCUUUUUCUCGAAGCAUGGAACAAUAAAAAAAACAAUUUAGUUCAUAAAUAUUUUUAAAUUUUAUUCUCUCGUAUUUAAGAAUUAUUAUGUUGUGGCUUGCUAGGUAGGCUCAUCGUGCAACCAAAUUAAUCAAACCCAAAAAAAAGAAGAGAUUUUGAUCAUCAUCCCUCUCUGCUUUUUCUUAAGGAAAUAUAUUGAUUCUCCCUCUAAUCUAAACUAAUGGCAAGAAUUUCUAUAUCAAUGUGAGUUUCCAAUAAAUUAUUUUAGGUAUUUUCAAAAUUAUAAAAGUAUCUUUCAAUAGAAAAACAAAACAAUAUAUAUUCUAAACACAAAUAUAUGAUACAAAUAGCGUAUCGCUGAGUGGUGAGUGGUGAAUAUCCCUUCUUAGCAUGACGUGCUGGAAAGCAUAUACUAGCUAGUGCAGAAUCUUUCAUAGACAGCCAGAAGUCAAGGAAUGAAGUGCACUUGCACUAGUAACUAAUCUUCUUCAUUCAAUCGGAAUAACUUGUUGGUUACCCGAUGUCUUGGGUUUCUGAGUGUUUUUCAAAGAUUUUCAAACAUGUCUUAACUACGUACUGAUCAUUUCCAUGAUCGGAAAAAGAGAAUAGUAAUCGACAUGCAAAAUUGCAAAUAGAUGUGUUUCUCGCUUCUAUAUAUAAUCACAUUAUACAUUAUGCUCUAAUAUGACUGCACAAUCAUUGAAAGCUACAGUUAACUAUUAGCGUAAUCAAAUUUGAUUUCAUCUUCUGUUCCAAGAAGCCAAGGAAAGAGUUAUAAUUGAAACAUUGUAUGCAUUUGACCGUCAGCCAACUAACAGUCCAUCACUAAAAACUUUGAAUGCAACUCCUUAUAAAUGCUAAAUGUAUCUGCAUCCUGUCUUUCCAUGCUCACCACUCAUUCCCAAACUCAUCAAGUCCUCUACUGUUCAUCAAUCUCUUCCGUCUCUCUGCCUGUAAGAAAACCCCGGAAGAGAAAAAUGGUUUCCGAGUCUCUUGGCCAUCUCUUCCUUGUUUCUUUCCCAGCCCAAGGCCAUGUAAAUCCUUUACUUAGACUUGGAAAAAUUCUUGCCUCCAAAGGCUUCCUUGUCACCUUCUCCACUACUGAAACCAUUGGCAAACAGAUGAGAAAAGCCAGUGGCUUCAUAGAUAAGCUGACCCCGUUUGGUGAUGGCUUUAUCCGGUUUGAGUUCUUUGAAGAUGGAUGGACAGAGGACGAGGAUAGGCACCAAGACCUUGAUCAAUACUUACUUCAACUUGAGCUUGUUGGUAAACAAGUAAUUCCUCAAAUGAUCAAGAAAAAUGAAGAGCAAGGGCGGCCUGUUUGUUGCCUCAUAAACAACCCUUUCAUUCCUUGGGUUACAGAUGUGGCCACAAGUCUAGGUCUCCCUUCUGCAAUGCUUUGGGUUCAAUCCUGCGCUUGUUUUGCCUCAUAUUACCAUUUCUAUCACGGUACUGUACCUUUCCCUGAUGAGGAGCACCCCGAGAUAGAUGUCCAAUUACCAUGCAUGCCUCUCCUAAAACAUGAUGAAGUGCCUAGUUUCUUACAUCCUACAACUCCUUAUGCUAUCUUGAGGAGGGCUAUUUUAGGUCAGUACAAAAAUCUUGACAAGCCAUUUUGCAUCCUGAUGGAAACAUUCGAUGAGCUUGAACCAGAGCUUAUCAAGCACAUGUCCGAAAUCUUCCCCAUCAAGGCCGUUGGGCCACUAUUCAGAAAUCCCAAGGCACCACAGACAACGGUCCAUGGAGACUUGCUGAAGGCAGAUGACUGCAUCGAAUGGCUUGACACAAAGCCACCUUCAUCAGUUGUUUAUGUGUCUUUCGGUAGUGUCGUGCAAUUGAAGCAAGACCAAUGGAACGAGAUCGCUUAUGGGUUAUUGAAUUCGGGCGUCAACUUCUUGUUAGUUAUGAAACCAGCCCACAAAGAUGCAGGACAUGACCUCCUUGUUCUGCCAGAUGGGUUCUCGGAGAAAGCAGGAGACAGGGGCAAGGUGGUGCAAUGGAGUCCUCAAGAGAAGGUUUUAGCUCACCCGUCAGUUGCGUGCUUCGUAACACAUUGUGGGUGGAACUCUACUAUGGAAGCACUCACAUCAGGCAUGCCAGUGGCGGCUUUCCCUCAAUGGGGUGAUCAAGUAACUAAUGCAAAAUAUUUGGUCGACAUCCUUAAGGUUGGUGUGAGAAUGAGCCGCGGAGAAGCAGAGAACAAACUGAUUACUCGUGAUGAGAUAGAGAAAUGCUUGUUGGAGGCCACAGCGGGACCUAAGGCAAUGGAAAUGAAGGAGAAAGCAAUGAAAUGGAAGGAGGCAGCGGAGGCAGCAGUGGCUGAGGGUGGUUCCUCCGACUGGAAUAUACGAUAUUUUACGGACGAUAUUGUAAAAGCGAAUGAGUCUGAGAUUGCUGGGAAGUGCAUUGGUUCUAAUGAGUUUCCAGUGUCGGUAGUAGUGAAGUCCAACGAGAAAGUGGCUGAACUGGUGGGGUCAUCGGCAUGAGGAGAUUUGCUAUAUGUGCUGUGAACGUGGAACUGGUUUAAUCCAGUGCUGUUAGUAUGGUGAAAUUAAUUACUCUUGUUAUGUAGUUGUCUACUUUUUACUUCUUUUAAUUAGCUAUUAAUAACAUAUAGCCAAGUGCCAUAUAAAGGCCAUAUGUAUCAUUUUAAGGUAUUGUUGAGUUGUUGUUGUAGUGUAAUUUCAAAAGUAACAAUUGUACCUGAUUUCUUGUGUUUUUAAGGUAUCGAUCGACAAUGCCGCUGGUAUUGUGUUUGCUAAAAAAAAAUAUAUUUUUAAAGUUAUUUUUUCUAUAUUUUUAUAUGAUUUUGAUAUAAUAAUAUUAAUAAUAAAAUUUAAAAAAUAAAAAAUAAAUUAUUUUAAUAUAUUUUCAAGUAAAAAAUAUUUUGAAAAUCAACCAUUAUCACAUACCACUAAAUUUGAUUUUUUAUUAAAUUAAUUUUUUUAUAUUUUUGAAUUGUUUUGAUGUGCUGAUGUUAAAAAUAAAAUAUAUAUUAUUUUAAUGUAUUUCUGAACGAAAAACACUUUAAAAAACAACCACUAACACAAUAUUAAACAUUAGUGUAUUACAACAUAUACACCAUUUAUGCAUCUUUUUCUUCCUCACUAGUGUUUAAAUUAACAUUAUUAGCAAAGAAAAAAAAAUAGCAAACGAGCAUGUUUUUCAAAAUAAUUUAAUUCAUAAAAUAUUUUAAAUUUUAUUUUCUUGUAUUUAAGAAUUAUUAUGUUGCGGCUAUCUAGGUAGACUCAUCGUGCAACCAAAUUAAUCCAACCCAAAAUAAAGAGAGAUUUUGAUCAUUAUCUCUCUCUGUCUUUUCUUAAGGAAAUAUAUUGAUUCUCCCUCUAAUCUAGACUAAUGGCAAGAAUUUCUAUAUCAAUGUGAGUUUCCAAUAAAUUAUUUUAAGUAUUUUCAAAAUUAUAAAACAAUCUUUCAAUAGAAAAACAAAACAAUAUUCCAAACACAAAUAUAUAAUACAAAGUUUUCAUAUUGAGUAGCAUGAAAAAAAAUUCCAAUCUCAACCAAUCCUUAAUGUUUUGGAAUGCAUAAUUCACUGCUAUCAUUUAUUAACUUUAAUAUAAUUUAUUUAUAUAAAAAAAGUAUGAUUUUGUUUUCUAUAAAAAAAUAGUACUCUGCAAAUCACAAAUGACACACACAAGUUGAUCAGAACCAUUCACCAGCACAAAACACUAUUAGAUGUACACUAUUCACGUCUUCUGCAGAGUGAAGCAGACCUCGAACUCAUGUUCAAAACAGCUGUAAUAACUGGUAGCUGUUGAAGUGGCACCAUUUAACUGGUCUCUCGUUCUGCUUCAAAGGAUGGCCUCACUUACAGAUUUGAAACUGGAAGCCUGUCUUUUUUUUGGCUCUGAAAGGGAUUCUCUUGUCUGCUUUUGUAGGUCUGUAAUUUUUUGGGAGCUUCGGCUUCUCUCAUCAGGAUUCAAUUGGAUGUUGCUGGGAACUCCGAACAAUACAAAUAUCGUAUUGCUGAGUGGUGAAUAUCCCUUCUUAGCAUGACGUGCUGGAAAGCAUAUACUGGCUAGUGCAGAAUCUUUCAUAGACAAACCAGAAGUCAAGGAAUGAAGUGCACUCGCAAUAGUAACUAAUCUUCUUCAUUCAAUCGGUAUAACUUGUUGGUUACCCGAUGUCUUGGGUUUCUGAGUGUUGCAAAAUCAUUGAAAGCUACAGUUAACUAUUAGCGUAAUCAAAUUUGAUUUCAUCUUCUGUUCCAAGAAGCCAAGGAAAGAGUUAUAAUUGAAACAUUGUAUGCAUUUGACCGUCAGCCAACUAACAGUCCAUCACUAAAAACUUUGAAUGCAACUCCUUAUAAAUGCUAUAUGUAUCUGCAUCCUUUCUUUCCAUGCUCACCACUCCUUCCCAAACUCAUCAAGUCCUCUACUGUUCAUCAAUCUCUUCCGUCUCUCUGCCUGUAAGAAAACCCCGGAAGAGAAAAAUGGUUUCCGAGUCUCUUGGCCAUCUCUUCCUUGUUUCUUUCCCAGCCCAAGGCCAUGUAAAUCCUUUACUUAGACUUGGAAAAAUUCUUGCCUCCAAAGGCUUCCUUGUCACCUUCUCCACUGCAGAAACCACUGGCGAACAGAUGAGAAAAGCCAGUGGCAUCAUAGAUAAGCUGACCCCGUUUGGUGAUGGCUUUAUCCGGUUUGAAUUCUUUGUAGAUGGAUGGGAAGAGGACGAGCCUAGGCGCCAAGACCUUGAUCAAUACUUACCUCAACUUGAGCUUGUUGGUAAACAAGUAAUUCCUCAAAUGAUCAAGAAAAAUGAAGAGCAAGGGCGGCCUGUUUCUUGCCUCAUAAACAACCCUUUCAUUCCUUGGGUUACAGAUGUGGCUACAAGUCUAGGUCUCCCUUCUGCAAUGCUUUGGGUUCAAUCCUGCGCUUGUUUUGCCUCAUAUUACCAUUACUAUCACGGUACUGUACCUUUCCCUGAUGAGGAGCACCCCGAGAUAGAUGUCCAAUUACCAUGCAUGCCUCUCCUAAAACAUGAUGAAGUGCCUAGUUUCUUGCAUCCCACAACUCCUUAUCCUUUCUUGAGGAGGGCUAUUUUAGGUCAGUACAAAAAUCUUGACAAACCAUUUUGCAUCCUGAUGGAAACAUUCGAAGCGCUUGAACCAGAGCUUAUCAAGCACAUGUCCGAAAUCUUCCCCAUCAAGGCCGUUGGGCCACUAUUCAGAAAUCCCAAGGCACCACAGACAACGGUCCAUGGAGACUUGCUGAAGGCAGAUGAUUGCAUCGAAUGGCUUGACACAAAGCCACCUUCAUCAGUUGUUUAUGUGUCUUUCGGUAGUGUCGUCAAUUGAAGCAAGACCAAUGGAACGAGAUCGCUUAUGGGUUAUUGAAUUCGGGCGUCAACUUCUUGUUAGUUAUGAAACCAGCCCACAAAGAUGCAGGACAAGACCUCCUUGUUCUGCCAGAUGGGUUCUUGGAGAAAGCAGGAGACAGGGGCAAGGUGGUGCAAUGGAGUCCUCAAGAGAAGGUUUUAGCUCACCCAUCAGUUGCGUGCUUUGUAACUCAUUGUGGGUGGAACUCUACUAUGGAAGCACUCACAUCAGGCAUGCCAGUGGUGGCUUUCCCUCAAUGGGGUGAUCAAGUAACUAAUGCAAAAUAUUUGGUCGACAUCCUUAAGGUUGGUGUGAGAAUGAGCCGCGGAGAAGCGGAGAACAAACUGAUUACUCGUGAUGAGAUAGAGAAAUGCUUGUUGGAGGCCACAGCGGGACCUAAGGCAGUGGAAAUGAAGGAGAAAGCAAUGAAAUGGAAGGAGGCAGCGGAGGCAGCAGUGGCUGAGGGUGGUUCCUCCGACUGGAAUAUACGAUAUUUUACGGACGAUAUUGUAAAAGCGAAU